UCCCCUAGUGGUCUAGUGGUUAAGACUCUGUCCUUCCAAUGCAGAGGACACAGGUUCAAUCCCUGUUGGGGAA